GUCCAGACUCCUACGGGAGGCAGCAGUGGGGAAUAUUGCACAAUGGGGGAAACCCUGAUGCAGCGACGCCGCGUGAGUGAAGAAGUAUUUCGGUAUGUAAAGCUCUAUCAGCAGGGAAUAGAAAAGAAGGUACCUGAAAAAGAAGCCCCGGCUAACUACGUGCCAGCAGCCGCGGUAAUACGUAGGGGGCAAGCGUUAUCCGGAUUUACUGGGUGUAAAGGGAGCGUAGACGGCAAUGCAAGCCAGAUGUGAAAGCCCGGGGCUCAACCCCGGGACUGCAGUUGGAACUGUGUAGCUGGAGUGUCGGAGAGGCAGGCGGAAUUCCUAGUGUAGCGGUGAAAUGCGUAGAUAUUAGGAGGAACACCAGUGGCGAAGGCGGCUUGCUGGACGAUGACUGACGUUGAGGCUCGAAAGCGUGGGGAGCAAACAGGAUUAGAUACCCCUGUAUAC
rnacentral:rRNA from 1 species